GGCUAACUAGCUGCCGGGAGCCGGUGUAAUACGGAGGGGGCAAGGGUUGUCCGGAUUUAUUGGGCGUAAAGAGCGUGUAGGCGGCCAGGUAGGGCCGUUGUGAAAACUCGGGGCUCAACCUCGAGACGCCGAUGGAAACCAUCUGGCUAGAGUCCGGAAGAGGAGAGUGGAAUUCCUGGUGUAGCGGUGAAAUGCGCAGAUAUCAGGAAGAACACCCGUGGCUAAGGCGGCUCUCUAGUACGGUACUGACGCUGAGACGCGAAAGCGUGGGGAGCGAACAGGAUUAGAUACCCCUGAGUC
rnacentral:rRNA from 1 species